rnacentral:rRNA from 1 species
UAGCCGUAAACGAUAACUCGCUAGGUGUCGGCCACGGUGCGACCGUUGUCGGUGCCGUAGGGAAGCCGUGAAGCGAGCCACCUGGGAAGUACGGCCGCAAGGCUGAAACUUAAAGGAAUUGGCGGGGGAGCACCACAACGGGUGGAGCUUGCGGUUUAAUUGGAUUCAACGCCGGAAAUCUUACCGGGACCGACAGCAACAUGAAGGCCAAGCUGAAGACUUUGCCGGAUUAGCUGAGAGGUGGUGCAUGGCGUAGUCGUGU